UACAGAGGGCGCGAGCGUUGUCCGGAAUCACUGGGCGUAAAGGGCGCGUAGGUGGCCACCAUAAGGCCGCGGUGAAAGUCUGGGGCUCAACCCCAGAUCGGCCGCGGCGACUGUGGGGCUGGGGUACUGUAGAGGCAGGUGGAAUUCCGGGUGUAGCGGUGGAAUGCGUAGAUAUCUGGAGGAAUACCGGUGGCGAAAGGCGGCAUCCUGGGACCGGCAUUGACGCUGAGGAGCGAAAGCCAGGGGAGCAAACGGG
rnacentral:rRNA from 1 species